ACAGCAGCCGCCGCGGGAAUACAGAGGGUGCGAGCGUUAAUCGGAUUUACUGGGCGUAAAGCGUGCGUAGGCGGCUUUUUAAGUCGGAUGUGAAAUCCCUGAGCUUAACUUAGGAAUUGCAUUCGAUACUGGGAAGCUAGAGUAUGGGAGAGGAUGGUAGAAUUCCAGGUGUAGCGGUGAAAUGCGUAGAGAUCUGGAGGAAUACCGAUGGCGAAGGCAGCCAUCUGGCCUAAUACUGACGCUGAGGUACGAAAGCAUGGGGAGCAAACAGGAUUAGAUACCCGUGUAGUCCCUGUCUCUUAUAC
rnacentral:rRNA from 1 species